AACGCGAAGAACCUUACCUGGCCUUGACAUCCAGAGAACUUAGCAGAGAUGCUUUGGUGCCUUCGGGAACUCUGAGACAGGUGCUGCAUGGCUGUCGUCAGCUCGUGUUGUGAAAUGUUGGGUUAAGUCCCGCAACGAGCGCAACCCUUAUCCUUUGUUGCCAGCGGUUCGGCCGGGAACUCAAAGGAGACUGCCGGUGAUAAACCGGAGGAAGGUGGGGAUGACGUCAAGUCAUCAUGGCCCUUACGGCCAGGGCUACACACGUGCUACAAUGGCGCAUACAAAGAGAAGCGACCUCGCGAGAGCAAGCGGACCUCAUAAAGUGCGUCGUAGUCCGGAUUGGAGUCUGCAACUCGACUCCAUGAAGUCGGAAUCGCUAGUAAUCGUAGAUCAGAAUGCUACGGUGAAUACGUUCCCGGGUCUUGUACACACCG
rnacentral:rRNA from 1 species